GACGAACGCUGGCGGCGUGCCUAAUACAUGCAAGUAGAACGCUGAAGGAGGAGCUUGCUUCUCUGGAUGAGUUGCGAACGGGUGAGUAACGCGUAGGUAACCUGCCUGGUAGCGGGGGAUAACUAUUGGAAACGAUAGCUAAUACCGCAUAAGAGUAGAUGUUGCAUGACAUUUGCUUAAAAGGUGCAAUUGCAUCACUACCAGAUGGACCUGCGUUGUAUUAGCUAGUUGGUGGGGUAACGGCUCACCAAGGCGACGAUACAUAGCCGACCUGAGAGGGGGAUCGGCCCAACUGGGAAUGAGACACGGCCCAGACUCCUACGGGAGGCAGCAGUAGGGAAUCUUCGGCAAUGGACGGAAGUCUGACCGAGCAACGCCGCGUGAGUGAAGAAGGUUUUCGGAUCGUAAAGCUCUGUUGUAAGAGAAGAACGAGUGUGAGAGUGGAAAGUUCACACUGUGACGGUAUCUUACCAGAAAGGGACGGCUAACUACGUG
rnacentral:rRNA from 1 species